rnacentral:lncRNA from 1 species
UUUCAUUUUAAUUUGGAUUGGUUUCAGCACCGAUGGAGGUCAGAUCCUCAACUGCGAUUGAAAUUUUUUGUCUUUCUGAGUUUUGGCUAGAUGGGUCGAUCUAUUUUUGGGGUGUAGAUUGGUGGGAUUUGAUCUAAAGUUCGCUGAUUGGAUCCGGUGGAACACAAAUUUAUCUGGGUUCAAUCUGAAAUGGUAUAUUUCUAGAUCUCAAUCUUAGACUGCAACUUCCUUGACCAAAACGUUCCGAUGUCAGAUUCGAUGAGCAUAAUCGACUCGGGUGUUAAAUCUAAACAAACCAAUCAUGUACAGUCAGUAUAGAGGAGCAUAAACAUUGGGGAACUUGGAAGGCUCACUUUGUUAGGGAAGUUUAUACUGAAUUCUGAAUACAAUAAACUCUAUGGGGGUAUAGCUCAGGAUCUUGAAUCACUGACUGAAGUUGAGUGUCUUGACCAGUUCUGGUUUUCAAGGUUGGGUCUUUCAUUCCAGCUUCACGAAUUCUAGGUGCUCUGAAUAUCAUGACAGAUUGGUGAGUUGAGCAAGUUACAACUUCUCCAAAUUUAGGAAAACCAAGUUUGAACUGAAGAUUGUGAUACGGUAUAUUGGAAUUGGAAAGAACUCAAAGAAGUCGCUCUGUUCAUGUUCUUGAGCCUGUUCUGAUGGUUGAUUCUUAAUUGUACUGAUAGUUGUUGGGCUAUCAUAUAUCAUAUAAAUCAAUCAUAUAAUAAUACUAUAAUAGUACUGAUGUUGGGUAUUUGA